GGAGGUCACGGUUCAAUCCCCUACAAUCCCCUAGAGCCUCUAGAAGGAAUGUAGCUGUGCCAGCAUCUGGUUAAAAUCCAGUGAUCAGUCACCUAGUAACACCCAUUUUGGUCUUCUGCCUUCCAAUACUGUAAGUUAAUAAAUUUGUGUUAUGUUAAGCCAGUUUGUGGUAAUUUGUAACAAUAGGAAGUAUUAGCAUUCAUCUUAAAUUUUAUUUCCUCCAGCCAGUGGUCUUUUAUUGAUAUUGAGUAAGAUACACUUCAGUAAUCAGUAGUAGGAGAGACUUGAAUAUAUUCUCUGGACAAAUGAAAGUCUGGUUUGGAGCUUGAGAGCAAAGUAACAGUUAUGAAACGGAUUCUUUUUUAAGUAGGUUUCACACCCAGCCCGGAGUACAGCACAGAUCUGUGAUCAAGACUUGAGCUGAGAUCAACAGCUGGAAGCUUAACUGACUUAACUACCCAGGUGCCAGUGAAAUGGAUUGAUUAAGGAAUAAUAAUGAUCCCGACACUUGCAAUAAGAAUUGCAACAAGGCCUGGACCAAAAUGUCACAUGAGUGUGAGGAGUGUUAGAGAUACCAGGUAAGAAAGCAGUUGGUAUUCCUUUUGUCACUGAGUUGUUGACAGUCACCAAACAAGAGAGCCGAAACGACUUCAUCAAAUAGGAGAAGCCAAAGAGUCACUCUAAAGAUACUCUUAGAAGAGCUGUGAAGAGAGUAUGGAGAGUUCCUGUGUGACUUUCUUCUGGUCCCUUCUAAUGUUCGACAUCACACCUAAACAUUGGUUCAGUACCGUAACCUCAACCACAGACCUUCUUCAGACCUCCCAGACUCUCCACUACUGUUGUCUUCUUGCCUCAGCAUCCAUGUAGCAUUCAGCUGUCUCCUCCAAUCUGUCACAGUUUGUCAGGGUCUCUUGUUACACACGACCUUGGUCAGUUUGGAAAGCACUAGUCAGGUAUAUUGUGAUUGUCCUUCAAUUCGGAUCUGCCUUAUAGCUUUCAAGUAUUAGACCGAGUUUAUGGAUUUGGGGAAUAUCAGAGAGGUCAUGAUCUCAUCAUAUUGCACUAUAACAGAGAAUACAUGAUAUCAACCCAUUUUACUACUAAUAAUCAUUGGAGUCAUUAACAUUGCUGA